GACGAACCGUGCGAACGUUGUUCGGAAUCACUGGGCUUAAAGGGCGCGUAGGCGGGUUCGAAAGUCUGUGGUGAAAGCCUCCAGCUUAACUGGAGAAGUGCCAUGGAUACUGCGAACCUGGAGGAGGGUAGGGGCAUCUGGAACGCUGGGUGGAGCGGUGAAAUGCGUUGAUAUCCAGCGGAACUCCGGUGGCGAAGGCGAGGUGCUGGACCCUUUCUGACGCUGAGGCGCGAAAGCCAGGGGAGCAAACGGGG
rnacentral:rRNA from 1 species